ACAUUAAAAAAGUUAGAAAAGCCAGAUCCCUCAUUUCCACUUCCCGCUGAACUCCCUUCCUCUCUUCUAGUUCCACUUUUAGGGUUCGCAUAUGGUUGAAGAUGGAGGAAAUGAUACCGACAAUGUAAGAGCCAUACAAUUAAAUGGAGGAUCAUGUUCAGAAGUUAUGCAUUGAGCUUCGUCCGACUUCGAAUAUGUCAAAGUUGCUUCCGUUCGCAAUGAUUUCGACACCUCUACUCGUCUCCUUACUCAUGCUCUAGUUGAUAAACAGGUUUGAGAUGUCACCAAGAUUGAUUCACGAAAAAUGGAUAACCUCCAAGGCAACUCCACAACUGUUACUGGCAACUUAAAACUGUAUAUGACAUUAGCAAUUUGUGUAUCCUUUAUCCAGAAAGAAUAGCCGGGAUUGUUAGCAUAAGAAAUAUGUAUUACAGUUUUGCUAUCAUAUUACAGCUAAUCAAGUAGCCAAUUAUCUUGACCGGUUACAUGUUUUGUUUUAUGCAGGUUUAUUUUCAGUUGUUUUUGGACACGCAAUAUUCGGUACGAUAUACUUCGUAUACUACAAAGUCUGCUUAUGAGAAGCUGGAAAAUUGGUGACAGUACCCAGGUUUUACAAAGGCAAGAUAUUUUCUCCAAACCGGUACACUCAAGAGGAGAUCGACGAUGUUCGAGAAAAAUGGAGCAGCUAUUUUUAUUAAUAGUUGGAUUAGAUAGCGUGCAAGUAAAAGGACAUAUAUCUAUGAGUUAUCGGACUUGGCAAGCCAACAACAAAGGAUCUCGAAAGUCUCUAAGAUGGAAAAAAUUUAUAUGUUCUCGCGAACCGGAAAUGCUUGAAUGUUGCUAUUACGUCAUGAAGUACAUGUAUCAAAUAGUUUUACUUGGAUUACAAAGUAUUAGUAAUGUGGAAGAGAUAUUUUCUCCAAACCCAUACACUCAAGAGGAGAUCGAUGAUGUUCGAGAAAAAUGGAGUAGAUAUUUUAUUAGUAGUUUGUAGUCAUUUUCUAGUUUUCACAGAUAGAAAUUAAACUAUAACAAAGCGCAGGUUAUUUUUUGGAAUACAAUUAUUUACAAUUGUACGUUGAACCAACUUUCUUGUUUGAAUUAAUACAAAAAUAUUUUCGC